CCAACACAACAAAAUGUGAAAACCCUAAAAUUAAAAAACGCAAAAUCCUCAGCCUUCUCUCGCGUGCUACUCUUCAGACGCUUCAGCCUCUUUCUCUCAUGUGAUUCUCUUCAGCCGCAUCUCUCUUCGGUGGUCUGUGGUCUCUCUUCAGACGACGGCGAGGAGAUAUAUCGGAUGCAAAGAUCUUAAGGUUUGUAGAGAAUUUUUGGUUGCUGACAAGUGAUAAAAGAAAACUUAAUAGUGACUAAAUCUUUUAACUUACUAGAGAGCCUUCUCUUCUAUUUUCGUUCGCUUUCCACUACUGCUUUAACCUCACACAUAUAUGUUUGUCACCGACUCAAGGACCCCAGACCGUGCCUCUCUUUCUUUCAAGUCAGACGCUCCAUAUAGUAACGAAGGGAUCAAUGCAGUACGGGAUGAGUGGGUCGAAUUUGUGAAGCCUUUGAUUAUGGAUUUAGUACAAGGUUACUACUUUUGUUAUAAUACAUGAGUAAAAAGUUUUAUGAUUAUUGUUAUAUUUUGCAUAUAUGUAAUUAGUUUAUAUUUAGUUUACGAUAUACAUGAAAUUUAACUUUUAGGAUCGAUUCUAUUAACAAUUUUGGUAUUGUGGGAUUAGUUAAUAGAAUCGAUUACUAAUUUAUGUGAGUUUUAAAAAUGUUAUU